UGGGGAAUAUUGGACAAUGGGCGCAAGCCUGAUCCAGCAAUGCCGCGUGUGUGAAGAAGGCCUUCGGGUUGUAAAGCACUUUUAUCAGGAGCGAAACGCUGUCGGCUAAUACCCGGCGGAACUGACGGUACCUGAGGAAUAAGCACCGGCUAACUUCGUGCCAGCAGCCGCGGUAAUACGAAGGGUGCAAGCGUUAAUCGGAAUUACUGGGCGUAAAGCGUGCGUAGGCGGUUUCUUAAGUCUGCUGUGAAAUCCCCGGGCUCAACCUGGGAAUGGCAGUGGAUACUGGGAGGCUAGAGUGUGUCAGAGGGUGGUGGAAUUCCCGGUGUAGCGGUGAAAUGCGUAGAGAUCGGGAGGAACAUCAGUGGCGAAGGCGGCCACCUGGGACAACACUGACGCUGAGGCACGAAAGCGUGGGGAGCAAACAGGAUUAGAUACCCUGGUAGUCCACGCCCUAAACGAUGCGAACUGGAUGUUGUCUCAACUCGGAGAUCAGUGUCGAAGCUAACGCGUUAAGUUCGCCGCCUGGGGAGUACGGUCGCAAGACUGAAACUUAAAUGAAUUGACGGGGUCAUAGCUGUUUCC
rnacentral:rRNA from 1 species